GGCCCUUUGCGUAAUCUUUAACCCCUCUCCCUUACUCCCAGCUCGCCUCUAAUUGACCGUGAAGCACCUGGGGGUAAUCUGGAGGCAGUGCCAUCUGCCCUCACAGGGCAGUGCUUCCUACAGCCCAGCCAAGGAGACCUUCUGAGCCUGGGGCACCCCAGCACCCAAUGCACUUCAUUACAGUGGUGAAGAUGGAGCUGCCAGUCAACCUCUUUGCAGCUCAGGAGCGGCAGAGAAAGUUUCCUAACCCUAAAGGCAUCAGAGCUCUGCAGAGGCUGAAAUUCUUCAUGUAAGGCAGAAAUGCGUUCAUAGGAGCGAUCCAUUCAACUUCAUCAGCCUUGGGAAACCUUUUACAAGGAAGGAGAGAUGAAAACUCUGGCCUGGGUAGCUGAGAAAAUGCAAUGAAAUUGGGUUUUCCUAUUGCAUCUUCUCCAGUGCAGCUGAGCUGGGGGCUCCAGAGAUCCCACCUGUACCCAGAAGCAAUGCAGGCACUUCCCAUGCACUCAGCAUUGGGUGGCUGCUUGGAAGGGUUUCAGAUCCAACAUCUGCACAGGAC
ensembl:lncRNA